rnacentral:rRNA from 1 species
UACGUAGGGUGCGAGCGUUGUCCGGAAUUAUUGGGCGUAAAGCGCUCGUAGGCGGUCUGUCGCGUCUGCUGUGAAAUCCCGAGGCUCAACCUCGGGCUUGCAGUGGGUACGGGCAGGCUAGAGUGCGGUAGGGGAGAAUGGAACUCCUGGUGUAGCGGUGGAAUGCGCAGAUAUCAGGAAGAACACCGAUGGCGAAGGCAGUUCUCUGGGCCGUAACUGACGCUGAGGAGCGAAAGCGUGGGGAGCGAACAGG